ACAACAGUCGGAAACGACUGCUAAUACCGCAUAAGCCCACGGCUCGGCAUCGAGCAGAGGGAAAAGGAGCAAUCCGCUUUGAGAUGGCCUCGCGUCCGAUUAGCUAGUUGGUGAGGUAACGGCCCACCAAGGCGACGAUCGGUAGCCGGACUGAGAGGUUGAACGGCCACAUUGGGACUGAGACACGGCCCAGACUCCUACGGGAGGCAGCAGUGGGGAAUAUUGCACAAUGGGGGAAACCCUGAUGCAGCGACGCCGCGUGGAGGAAGAAGGUCUUCGGAUUGUAAACUCCUGUUGUUGAGGAAGAUAAUGACGGUACUCAACAAGGAAGUGACGGCUAACUACGUGCCAGCAGCCGCGGUAAAACGUAGGUCACAAGCGUUGUCCGGAAUUACUGGGUGUAAAGGGAGCGCAGGCGGGAAGACAAGUUGGAAGUGAAAUCCAUGGGCUCAACCCAUGAACUGCUUUCAAAACUGUUUUUCUUGAGUAGUGCAGAGGUAGGCGGAAUUCCCGGUGUAGCGGUGGAAUGCGUAGAUAUCGGGAGGAACACCAGUGGCGAAGGCGGCCUACUGGGCACCAACUGACGCUGAGGCUCGAAAGUGUGGGUAGCAAACAGGAUUAGAUACCCUGGUAGUCCACACUGUAAAC
rnacentral:rRNA from 1 species